rnacentral:rRNA from 1 species
GCACAAGCGGUGGAGCAUGUGGUUUAAUUCGAGGCAACGCGAAGAACCUUACCCAGGCUUGACAUCCCGGGACCGCCUGUGAAAGCAGGAAGUUCCCUUCGGGGACCCGGAGACAGGUGUUGCAUGGCUGUCGUCAGCUCGUGCCGUGAGAUGUUGGGUUAAGUCCCGCAACGAGCCGCAACCCCUGUCCCUAGUUACCAUCAUUUAGUUGGGCACUCUAGGGAGACUGCCGGUGAUAAGCCGGAGGAAGGUGGGGAUGACGUCAAGUCAUCAUGGCCCUUACGCCUGGGGCGACACACGUGCUACAAUGGCCGGUACAAAGGGUUGCAAUACCGCGAGGUGGAGCCAAUCCCAAAAAGCCGUCUCAGUUCGGAUUGUUCUCUGCAACUCGAGAGCAUGAAGUUGGAAUCGCUAGUAAUCGCGGAUCAGCUCGCCGCGGUGAAUACGUUCCCGGGCCUU